rnacentral:rRNA from 1 species
UGCAAGUCGAGCGGACAGAUGGGAGCUUGCUCCCUGAUGUUAGCGGCGGACGGGUGAGUAACACGUGGGUAACCUGCCUGUAAGACUGGGAUAACUCCGGGAAACCGGGGCUAAUACCGGAUGGUUGUUUGAACCGCAUGGUUCAAACAUAAAAGGUGGCUUCGGCUACCACUUACAGAUGGACCCGCGGCGCAUUAGCUAGUUGGUGAGGUAACGGCUCACCAAGGCAACGAUGCGUAGCCGACCUGAGAGGGUGAUCGGCCACACUGGGACUGAGACACGGCCCAGACUCCUACGGGAGGCAGCAGUAGGGAAUCUUCCGCAAUGGACGAAAGUCUGACGGAGCAACGCCGCGUGAGUGAUGAAGGUUUUCGGAUCGUAAAGCUCUGUUGUUAGGGAAGAACAAGUACCGUUCGAAUAGGGCGGUACCUUGACGGUACCUAACCAGAAAGCCACGGCUAACUACGUG